CGUCACCAAAGUGCAUCACAGACACAACCAGGAACGUUGUCCUGCACCAGCUGGCAGUGAAAAGCCACAAUAAGGCCACACUGAGGACCCCAGAGCUGCUGGACUCCCUGGAGGAGAACCACACACCGUCGCCGCGGUACCGUUUUUACGGCUACUUUGCGGCUUUCACAGCCUCCAUUACGGUCAUUGCCCAGGGGGAUUGGUAACCUGGGUUUGCGAGGUCAAAGAGGCCGCAGAGGUGCACAGGCCUGGCGAUGAUGGUUUUGUGAUCUCUAUCAGGGAACACAAGACUAACAAGUCCUUUGGGGUGGCCCAAAUGUUCUUAGAGACUGACGAGUUUCGAUGGCUGGUUCGGUGGCUGCAGCUGCGGGUGGCCAGCAAGCCACCGAACCAGCUGGUGUUCUUCACGGCUGGGAAGGGCCCAUGCUAAAACUUCUUGCACCACCUGCAGGUAGCGUGGGCGGAGAUCUGCCUUAAAGGGUCCCCCAACUUCACUGACCUGAGGACCGCUGUGUCUGCUCAUGUCAAGAACAACCUUCUGUCGGGCAGCAGAAGAUGGUGGCCACCUUUAUGUGCCACAACAUGGCCACCGCUGACUGCUUCUACGCCCUCAGCCUGAACGUGGCCCAGUCAAAGAGGUUGAGGGAGCAUUUCCGCUAGGCCCUCACCCACACCGUGCCCUCACCGGAGCAACCAGAAGCCUCCUCCUCCUCCACCAGGAAGAGUUACCGCAAGCCUGAGUCCUCCUCCAGUUCCAAGACAAAACCCCUGCCACCUACCAGGAGUCAGGGACCUCGGGACUGGAGAAGGAGAGGGAGUUUAUGGCGAGGCUGCAAAAUACACCAGAGAAGGCCCGAGAAGUCUCGUGAACACGCCAGUGUGCUUCAGCCUAACUUGUGUGGUGGGAAAUGUCUUCAGCCACACCGGAAAAUAAGUUUUGUUUUUAAUACUUUGCUUUUGUAUGAGCUGGAUUAUACAGUACACCAAACGUAUUAUGAAUAACACAACAUGGAUAUUCCAUUACUAUGGGUUCUUACUGACAUUUCAGGACCAUUUAUGACGGGUCGGGAUAUUGCCAUCCUUGUGUAACCCAGACUAAAAGGUACACAGGCAUAGAUUCACAAGGGAGUGGAGGGGGGCAUUUUAUAGCAUUUUGAUAAGAUGCAUAGUGAUAUUAAUCAAAUACAGUAAUGCACACAAAAAAACUCUAUGGUUUCUAUGGGAGAAAAACAAACAUUAUGUACAUUAGCCAUGCCCUACAGGAAUUGGGAUUUUGUACAUUGAUACAUUUUGAAACCACUUCAAUACAUGAUACAUGAUGUAAGUUCUAAUAUCUAAGUUUUACAUAAAUUAAAUAAUUUGCACAUAUAUCUAUGUGUAUGUUGUCAGUCAUUGUACAUUUAGGUUGAAAUUGAGUGAUUCUUGACAUUGAAAUUAUAUCAAAAUAUGUCAAUACAUUUUGACGUAAUUUUGACGUCAAUGUUUGAUGUCAUAUUGAUGUUAAAUUGACAUCAAAUGCUCACUGGGAAGUGUGUGUGUUUUUAUAUAGAUUUUAAUUUAAUUUAAUGCAAUACAAAUGUAAAAGUGCUUAAAGUGUGUAAUAUAAUGUAAAACAAUGUUUUAUUUUCUGAAAUAAGGCAUACUGGCAUAGUAACCCAAGUUAGGUUAUUUUUGACCCAACUCCUGGGUUAAAAAGGGACCAACUAAUUUCUGGGUUAUUUCAACCCAGAAAAUUGGGUUGUUCUUUUGACCCAGAAGUUGGGUUAUUUUACCGAAACAUUUGGGUCAGGUAUUUAACCCAGAAGUUGGGUUAUAUUAACUACACUGUUGGGUUA